UGCACUACCAGUUCCACCUACAAGUCUACAACUAGACAUGUCAAUAAGGUCGGUGAGGUCACCAGUCGUUUCGGGUUGGAUACUUUUGAUUUUUUAAGCUUACUUUGCCAUUUUUUAAGCAUCUAAAAAAUUGUCAUUCUCCGGAAGUAGCAAUGUUUUCAAAGCAUAGAGGUUCUGUCACUUGUCUGAGUUUUGAAGGUCUUUGCUUCUCCGUUUUAUCGCUUGGAAACUUCCAACAAAUUUAGAUUCAACAUUGAAGAUAGAUGCGAUGCAUUUCUUCUUUUCCAGUAAGUAGUAAUGUGAUAUUGGGUCAAAGAAAGAAGGCUCCUUAGACCUCCAUUGGCACGUCAGCAUGUCAUUAUAAAACAGUGAGUUGGGGCAUGACGCAUGAGCACGUUAAAUAUGAAUGAAUCAGCCGGGCCAUAUUGCUUGGAACUUGGAAGUUGAGAUAGGAUCAUAGGAGCAAGUUUUAAUCAUGGGAAUGAAGCAAGUGGUAAAUUCGGUGUUCCAUGUAAUUGACUUUGACUUACAGUUACAGCUCAUUUUUUUGACAUAUGCUCCAUUAUUAAGCUAUUA